AGUCCAUUAGGGCAGAGCUGCUGAUAUCACGCUUCCAGGAAAAGCUCCUAAGCUUCAGCUUGUGCAGACCGUACCGUAAACCGACACAGGUGGACAGGAUGAGAAUUCUCAGGCGCUUGAGAGAACUCGGGUGAAGGAACUACGCAAAAUGGCACCGUAACUUCGGGAGAAGGUACGCUGUUGUUGGUGAUGGAACUCGCUUCCUGAGCUGACGACAGCCGCAGAAACCAGGCCGCUGCAACUGUUUAUUAAAAACAUAGCACUCUGCAAACACGAAAGUGGACGUAUAGGGUGUGAUGCCUGCCCGGUGCUGGAAGGUUAAUUGAUGGGGUUAGCGUAAGCGAAGCUCUUGAUCGAAGCCCCAGUAAACGGCGGCCGUAACUAUAACGGUCCUAAGGUAGCGAAAUUCCUUGUCGGGUAAGUUCCGACCUGCACGAAUGGCGUAACGAUGGCGGCGCUGUCUCCACCCGAGACUCAGUGAAAUUGAAAUCGCUGUGAAGAUGCAGUGUAUCCGCGGCUAGACGGAAAGACCCCGUGAACCUUUACUGCAGCUUGACACUGAACUUUGACCUUACUUGUGUAGGAUAGGUGGGAGGCUUUGAAGCUGGAACGCUAGUUCCAGUGGAGCCGUCCUUGAAAUACCACCCUGGUAAUGUUGAGGUUCUAACUCUGUCCCGUGAUCCGGGACGAGGACCGUGUCUGGUGGGUAGUUUGACUGGGGCGGUCUCCUCCUAAAGAGUAACGGAGGAGUACGAAGGUGCGCUCAGCGUGGUCGGAAAUCACGCGUAGAGUAUAAAGGCAAAAGCGCGCUUAACUGCGAGACCCACAAGUCGAGCAGGUACGAAAGUAGGUCUUAGUGAUCCGGUGGUUCUGUAUGGAAGGGCCAUCGCUCAACGGAUAAAAGGUACUCUGGGGAUAACAGGCUGAUACCGCCCAAGAGUUCAUAUCGACGGCGGUGUUUGGCACCUCGAUGUCGGCUCAUCUCAUCCUGGGGCUGUAGCCGGUCCCAAGGGUAUGGCUGUUCGCCAUUUAAAGAGGUACGUGAGCUGGGUUUAAAACGUCGUGAGACAGUUUGGUCCCUAUCUGCCGUGGGCGCUGGAUAUUUGAAGGGGGCUGCUCCUAGUACGAGAGGACCGGAGUGGACGAACCUCUGGUGU
rnacentral:rRNA from 1 species